AGGAUCAGGACCUCUCUGUAAUUGCCAGUGAGUUGAAAAGAACGCUUGUUUUGAAGGCUUAAUUCAUUUAUUUAUUUAUUUUCUUCUUUUUUUGGGGGGGUGGAAUAGUUUUAUUUUUAUGACGACGAAGAAAGGGUCUCCUGUGAGGAAAGGUUGAGGGAACUGUGCUUGUUUAGCUUGGAGAAGAGAAGGCUGUGGGGAGACCUCAUUGCGGCCUUCCAGGACUUGGAGGGAGCAUAUAAACAGGAGGGGGAACGGCUGUUUACAAGGGUGGAUAGUGAUAGGACAUGGGGGAAUGGUUUUAAACUGAGACAGGGGAGGUUUAGGUUGGAUAUUAGGAGGAAGUUUUUCACCCAGAGGGUGGUGACGCACUGAACAGGUUGCCCAAGGAGGCUGUGGAUGCUCCAUCCCUGGAGGCAUUCAAGGCCAGGCUGGAUGUGGCUCUGGGCAGCCUGGGCUGGUGGUUGGUGACCCUGCACAUAGCAGGGGGUUGGAACUGGAUGAGCAUUGUGGUCCUUUUCAACCCAGGCCAUUCUAUGAUUCUAUGAUCCAUCAAAUCUUGAUGAGAGAAAAGCUUCUUAACAAUAGCUGUCUUUCAUCCGAAGUCCAGAUAUUCUGGACAGACGCUUGUCUAACCUUCUAAGAUUCAUCAUCCAUCUAAGAUUCGUCGUAGUUAAUUUUUUUAAGCACUUUAGCAUUUUCCUCACCCUGAAUAUUUUCCAAAUUGUUUACAUCUUUUCUAACAUUAGUGCCCCAAAUUAGACCUUUAGCCCCUUAUGCAUAUGCUUCCUCAGGAAAUAAGUUUUAGAUGAGUAGCUCCUCUCCCUCCUUGUCAUUGUCCUCUCCAGCCCUUGUAGCUCCCCAGUGUCACAGAAUCAUAGAAUACCCAAGGUUGGAAACGAACUCCAAGAUCAUCCAGACCAACCACCCACCUACCACCAAUAUUUCCCAGCUAACCCAUGUCCCUUAGUAACUCAUGUUAUAAUAUUAAAGGAGAAUUAUUUCAAGAAGAAUCUCCGGACAGGGUCUCUG
rnacentral:lncRNA from 1 species